AGUGAACGCUGGCGAUAGGCCUAACACAUGCAAGUCGAACGGCAGCACAGUAAGAGCUUGCUCUUACGGGUGGCGAGUGGCGGACGGGUGAGGAAUACAUCGGAAUCUACUUUUUCGUGGGGGAUAACGUAGGGAAACUUACGCUAAUACCGCAUACGACCUACGGGUGAAAGCAGGGGAUCUUCGGACCUUGCGCGAUUGAAUGAGCCGAUGUCGGAUUAGCUAGUUGGCGGGGUAAAGGCCCACCAAGGCGACGAUCCGUAGCUGGUCUGAGAGGAUGAUCAGCCACACUGGAACUGAGACACGGCCCAGACUCCUGCGGGAGGCAGCAGUGGGGAAUAUUGGACAAUGGGCGCAAGCCUGAUCCAGCCAUACCGCGUGGGUGAAGAAGGCCUUCGGGUUGUAAAGCCCUUUUGUUGGGAAAGAAAAGCAGCAGGUUAAUACCCCGCUGUUCUGACGGUACCCAAAGAAUAAGCACCGGCUAACUUCGUG
rnacentral:rRNA from 1 species